UAAAUGAAUCAGAUACCACACAGGUAGACAUCUUCCUUUCUGGGAAGGGGCACAGAUCUUCAGUAGAAGUGGUACUAAUGAGGAAUUUUUAGCUACAUCUAUGAAUCCUACAAGGAGGUUUUAUUAGUUGAUUACUUCUGCAAUUAACAGAUUUUUUAAAAAUCAAGAAGUAAGCCAGGCUGAAAGAAGUGGAGGUGAGGCUGCCUCACUCAGGAUACAGAGAAAGGACUCAGUGUCCAAGGCACAAGAACGUAUUGUGACUGUACUUGGUGACUCAUACACCGUGCCUUUGAGGUCUUCCAGAGCCCAAAUGAUGCCUCAGAGCCCUUGGAGCAAGAAUCAUGUGAGAAAGUAAGUUGUAGCCAAACCAUUUAUAAGCAGCUGUUCUAUAUACUUUGGAAAAUUUGAUUUGAUGAUGCUGGAAGAUGCAAAAAGCCAAAGAGAAAUAAUUUAAACUAGGAAGAGUUUUUUAGAGGCUCCAGAGGGACUUAACCAAUUCUGCAAUGUGCCAGGCACUGUGCCAUGUGAUGAGGAUGCUCUUCCUUGUUCACACCCAGAUCAGCACAACACGCCAGCCCUACCCUCAUUAUUCAGAAUGUGACUGCUCUUCACUACUGCUGCUCCUCUGACCCUGCCGUCACCCUCACCUGCGAUUCUGCAGCAGCCUCCUAAUGGAUCUGUCUUCUGCUCUUAAGGGCUACAGUGUAAGUCCUUCUUAGAAUGGUAUCCAGAGAGAACCUUUCAAAACCAAAUCAUGUCACUCCCCUGCUCAAAACCCUCCCAGGUCCCCUGUGACCCCGUGUCCUACGACCCUCUGGUUUGCUCUCUACUGCAGUGACCCUGAACCUUGGAAUCUACCACACUGGGAGGCGUGCUCCUGGACACUCUCUUCUCCCGGGUAUUGCACAGGCCACGCCCUGACUUCCUUCAGGUCUGUGCCCAAGUGUCAUCUCAGUGACGUGUUCCCUGACCACUUGUGGGAUGCAGGAGCCCCUCCAUCCCCACCCUCCUUGCUUCUUUUGCUUGCUUGGUCCUUCUCCACAGUACUAACUGCCAGCUGACUUUCCAAAUACUCAUUUUCUGUGCUUCCUUCUUUAGAAUAUAAGCUUUGAGAGGGUAAGGACUAAGAUACUUACUGAAUGCAUGAAUAAGAGUGGUGAGCAAAAAAAGACAAUGAUCCCAGAAAUUUGAGAAAGAUGUCAACAACCUAAAACAAAAAGUGUCUGCCCCUUAGAUGAAGCCAAGAGCACAUAUCCACAAGCAGUGAGAAAUUAAGGAGUUUUCUUUUUAAAAAGGAUAACAGUUAGUAAAGGGAAUAACCAAGAGAUUAAUUAUGUAAUUACUAUGAAGUGGAAUCAUCUGUUCAAAUAGGCCAGCGUGGCAGGACCGGGGAAGGAAUGGCACAAGGGGAGACGAUGAGGAAGGCUUGGCAACACGCUACAUGCAAGGGGAGACAGUGCAGCACUCUGAGCGAGGGAAUGACAACCAGCGCCGUGCAGGUGUGAACAAAGUGCUCUGAGUGCUGGGUAGAGGUGAGAUGGAGAGGGAGAAGAGUGAGAAGAACAGAUCAGUAAGGAGGCUGCUAAGAAAGUCCCGGAGAGAUAACAGUGGAUCACCUUAGAGCGGGGGCAGCAGAAACAAGAAGUAUAUGAUUUUUAGAGUUAGGGAGGAAAAUCUUUCCUCAGAUUGGCUGUGAUGUAAGAGUAAAGGUCAAGGGCGACCCUCAAGGUUGGGUUUGGGGCAGCCAGGUAGACAGCCCAUUGCAAAGAUAAAAGCAGAGAGGUGGUUCCUCAGCUCUUGCCUUCCUAAAGUAGAAGUUGCAAGUCAAGUGCUACUUGGGGGCUGCAAAACAAUUACUGCUUUUUUAAAAAAAUAAAGACUGGUUAAAUCAUACCUAUCUGAGGAAACCUAGUGUACUGGAAAACUUUUAAGUAUAUUCUCCAAUCUAAGAGGCUGGAAAAAGUUCCUGCUUAAUAGCAGUAAGCACACUAGUCACAUCUUGCCCUGGGCUCAUACUCACCCAUCGCUUUUCUUUAGCAGGUAACCCUUCUUUUCACUGCCAUAUUCCUUAUUGCCCUGGAGCUGAUGCAUACUGUACCCUCCUUGCCGGCUUUGGGAAUCCUAGAAAACAGAAACCACAGAUUAAAUGAAAACUGCAGACAACUCUCAGAUCCUUGACUCUAUGCUACCAUUGAGCCUUUGCCCACUGGUCUAAGAAAAUUAUGGAUCUUUGAGAGCUAUUAGGUCCUUGCCUUCAUUUUACAGGGGGAAACUGGACAGGUAAACAUUUGCCAGGAUCCAAAGCAGGUCUGAGGCAGAUGUGGACCCCCGGGUUCAGGUCUCCAAUUUCUAGUUCAGAACCCAGCUCUGCUGUGAAGUGAGUUCAAAUACACAGAAAGCACUGGGAGACCACUGACUCGAGCAGUGGAGACAAGCACAAGAAGUAAUGGAGAGCCAAAGUGGACACAAAACAAAGCCCACGCGAUGUGCCAGUGCUCUUCUGUUAGGCUACACCUUUGCUCCCUUAAAUAUUCUGCGAAUUUACUCUAAAUAAAAGGGGAACGUCCUGAGACCUAAACAAUGAUUAUGAAGUUUCUAUUUUAUACCUAACUAUUCUGAACAUCCCAAAUUAAAAAAUCUAACAUCUGAAAGUUUUAAGUGCUGAUAAUCCCAAAAAGUCUGUGAAGCAUUUCAGACUUAAAAUUUUUCAGAUUAGGGUUACUCAACUAGUAAAUCUAUGCAAAUACUCCAAAAUCUGAAAAACUUUGAAAUCUGAAACAGUUUGGUCUCAAGUGUUUCAGGUAAGGGAUACUCAACCUGCGGUGUUCUGUAAUAGACCCCUACCACACACAUCUUGCUAAGCUGCCCAGGCUGGGCUUGAGCAUGCUUUUCAUUCAAAAAGAUCAUUCUAUGGGAGUGAGAAGCGUAUGAUAUGGUGAAGGUGACAGGGCAAACCAACAACACAGAUGCAAACAAGCCUGAUUUCAUGUUAGCACCCCACUGGGCUUGACCACAGCAUCUAGGACAGCAUGACUGGAAACAGCAGUUACACUAUGAACAUGUAAGAAACAAAUGAACAGUGUGGAGCUACAGCAUGAGAACAUGGGUCUCCAGACAUGUAAUAAGGACAACACACUCCCACACAAAGCAUUGACUUACUCUCCUAGACUUCGAUCAGGAAGGGCAAAAGCAACAGAGAAAAAAGGCAGAACAUUUGAAAAUAUAGUUAAUUUUGUUGAAAACUUUAUCGCCCAUAAUUUUAGCACUUUAUAUAUAAUGCACACAGAAAACAUCACUGUAAAGAUAAAAAUCACUGUAAAGGUAAACUAUAUACACCUUUAGAAUUAUGAUAAACUCCAGGUGGUGGGACAAUAAAAUAUCUUUAUACCUA